rnacentral:lncRNA from 1 species
UACUCUGUUACCAACCAACACACACCACCAAUUACAGCCCUGAUAACUUUGCAAAGCUGGGCUCAGUGGCAGCUAAGUACGAACAUCUCUGGACCAAGAAAUAUGUUGUUGUGUUGAUUUAGGGGCGACGACGAUCGUGGGAUCGGAUGUGCCCCGGGGACCAAGGAAUAGGUACCCUAGACUGGAAAUAUACAAAUUUCACCCUUUAUUUAAAUAAAAAAAAAUGCUGAAAGAGCUUAGCAGAAAAUUACCUUCAGAUCAGUCUGACCUCGCAUAUCUGUAAGCGUGAACAAUCUAAUAAAAAACAACACUACA